rnacentral:lncRNA from 1 species
CCCCAAUCUUGAAGGCAACAGCAGAGCCAGCGUACUUGCCCCCUGUCGUCUCUGGUUCCAGAAAGACAAGCUGUGGCACUUCCUUUUUUCACAACCUUCUUCAUUACCCGAGUCUCUCUUCCUGCUGCUUAAGGGCUCUUCAAGUUUAAGAAGAAAGUUCUUCCUGCAGACCAGCUGGAUGAGGGACCUCCAAACUUGGCCUCCUGGGAUGGAGAGGGACAUUUUUGCUAGCAGGCCUAUUGGUAGGCCAGAUAUCCUGAGGUUCAUUGCGAGCCCUAGAAAUAAAUGACUGCAAGUGAAAGAUGCAGAUCUUCGUGAGGUGGCCAAGUUUAUUCGUUACUGCAUUAGCGGGCGCACGCCACCUUGUGGUAAGGAAGAAAUUGUGAGCUUAAUCAGUGAAAUUACACUAUUUUAUACCCUUUCUACUAAGUAUGUGACAUCUCUCCUGUUGCUCAUUGGCUAAGCAUCUCAGACGCACAACCUACUAGACACAGUUGCUAAGGUAUGUUUCCAUAUAAGGUUUAUCACUCACCUGUCGUUUUUCAUUUUUCAAAGCAUCGGGUACUGCAUAUGUUUCAAGACACCCAGUGGUUGCUUCCACCAUGGUAAGCACAUAAAGCUUACCAUUGCGAGAUUGUGCCAAGAUGAUAUAAUCAACCUGCCACACCUCUCCAUAUUUACGCUUUUGCCAUUGCCCUUCCCCCCAGAGAGGUUUCGUCCUCUUGGCUUGUUUAAUUGCAUCACAAGUUUCACAGUGUAUACUAGGCUCUUGCUAUCCUGCCUAUCCUCCAUAGGUAGUAUCAGUGUUUACCCACCUGGUCAGAAUGUUCUGAAAAACAGAAUAACUGGCAGACUCAUUCUAGCUUAUAUUAAGCUCUGCCUCAACAUCUCAUUGUGAACAACAACCCGUGCAUCCAUUUUGUAAGAAAGUUUAGUAAAGGCCUAUACCUUAGUGCUAGAAGUUUUUUCUACUGCAAAACCUCAAUCUACCUCUCACAAUCAACGAGGUGUGUGGGGCUGCAACUAGAUGCUUGCUCUGUCUGUGGACAGGGAAUCAGCCCUAGUCUAAGGAAGCUGUCCUUAAGAGGGAUUGUUGGGGACAGGAAGCAAAUCCUAUAAGCAAAUUUUUGACAACAAGAAGAGAAACCAUUCUCCCUUGGGCUUUGCCUCUUCCACCACUCACCUAGCAAAUCAGGCCAAAGUAUAUGUUAUUCUUAUCCUAAGAAUCUGCGCAGUACUGGCCAGCAUAACACAGCUUGAUAGGACCUACCUUGAGAGCACAGUGCUGAUUGCAGACUUCCACAGGAGUUGCUCUAACCCGACUCUUAGGCAGUUUUGAUCCUUAAUAUCAGUGGCCUUUUUUAGUCCUUGAAAAUACAGAUUCUUUUCUGACCCAUGGUGGCACAAGACCAAAAUGCAUCUAGGCUGUCCAUGAUACCUCUCUGAAAGGCCCUAAUUAAAAUAAUAAUAAUAAUAAUCUUUUAAUAGCCCCCACAUUUAGUAGUAGAAAAGUGAGCACGUGUUUCUGAAAUCACCUUCACAGGAGUGGCCUACUGUCCUCAAAAUUGCCAUGAACAACGGGUAGAAGCAAGCUCAGGCACACAUCAUCUCCUGUAGGAUCUAUUCCUGGCCCAGGCCACAGAUAUCCGCCUCAAACUCCGCCUGGCAGUCAGUCCCUUGCAGGGAGUAAGAUGUGCAGCUCCAUAGUAUUACCAAAUCUCCCAAGGACCAGUGUUUUGACAGUCUCAAUGGAAGGGUGGGGGAGAAGUCCUUCAGUCCCACUAGGUAAAUAUAUUGUUCUAGGCCAUCACAGUUCCAGCAAUAGAACUACCAAAGGUGAUGCUGUGAUACAGAAACAGUAUACUAACUCCACUGUAUUCUUUUGUCUUUCUGUAGUCCAAC